rnacentral:rRNA from 1 species
AACGAACGCUGGCGGCGCGUAUUAAGCAUGCAAGUCGAACGGGAACCGACCCCGCAAGGGGUUGGGGAGAGUGGCGAACGGGUGAGUAACACGUAGGUGAUCUGUCCCUGGGUGGGGUAUAGCCCAUGGAAACAUGGGGUAAUACCGCAUGAGGUCCUGGCGGUGAGAACUCCGGGAUGAAAGGCGCAAUUGUGUUGCCUGGGGAUGAGCCUGCGGCUCAUUAGCUAGUUGGUGAGGUAAAGGCCCACCAAGGCGACGAUGGGUAGCCGGCCUGAGAGGGUGUACGGCCACACUGGGACUGAGACACGGCCCAGACUCCUACGGGAGGCUG